UACAGAGGUCCCAAGCGUUGUUCGGAUUCACUGGGCGUAAAGGGUGCGUAGGUGGCGAGGUAAGUCGGAUGUGAAAGCUCGGAGCUCAACUCCGAAAUGGCAUUGGAAACUACCUGGCUUGAGGGUUGGAAGGGGGACUGGAAUUCCUGGUGUAGCGGUGAAAUGCGCAGAUAUCAGGAGGAACACCGAUGGCGAAGGCAGGUCUCUGGGCCAUUACUGACACUGAGAAGCGAAAGCAUGGGGAGCGAACAGG
rnacentral:rRNA from 1 species